AAUUAGUUGGCUGAACGUAUAAGCAUGUAUCUUGAAAAUACAUUAAAAAGGUUGAAUUCCUUUACUGGUUU
rnacentral:tRNA from 1 species